AAAAUCAUAUCCUACUCAAAAUAUUAAAACAAAUGUGAAUAGUAUGUGUGAAGCCAGUAGUGAAUGUGCCUUCAGCCCUGACCAAAGACACAUGUGAGCACAACACAACACAUUAGCACCAGCCCACCUGCCUCAGCUUGUCCUUAUUAGAGAGUUACAGGAUCCUAAGAAUCCUAAAUGAAUCUUAAUAAUAAUAAUGGGCUUCAAAGGAGAUGGAGAAGAGCAGCCACGUAUCAAUGAUGGAGGUUAUAACAGGAAGGCUUCUUGCAGAAGAUAUCAUAAUUGACAGCACAGUAAUUGGAACUGCACAAUGGUUUAUUGAUAGGACAGCUUCUGGUGAACUUCUUUCCAGACAGUCUAUGACUGGCAGUGGAAGUACCACCUCCAGAUCAGCACACAGGUGAAGUCACUGAGAAGGGGUAGGUAACUGAAGGUUUGAAGGAAGUUUGAUGGAAGAGGUGUGGCAGGUGAAGUAGCAGAAAGAUUUCCUUGAUAGGGAAUACUCUGGGAUCUACAGGGCCCAAAUAAAGAAUUUGUUGCCUGGAGUACUUUGCCAGAGGGAUCUUGAACAGUGCAGUUGGUGUUCACUUUUUGAAUAAAUCAGAAUUUGAUGCCUCAAUCCAAAAUAAUCCCUGUAUGAGAAGGCU
rnacentral:lncRNA from 1 species